UACAGAGGUCUCAAGCGUUGUUCGGAUUCAUUGGGCGUAAAGGGUGCGUAGGCGGCGCGGAAAGUCGGGUGUGAAAUUUCGGAGCUUAACUCCGAAACUGCAUUCGAUACUCCCGUGCUUGAGGACUGGAGGGGAGACUGGAAUUACGGUGUAGCAGUGAAAUGCGUAGAGAUCGUAAGGAAGACCAGUGGCGAAGGCGGGUCUCUGGACAGUUCCUGACGCUGAGGCACGAAGGCCAGGGGAGCAAACGGG
rnacentral:rRNA from 1 species